GUCUAUGGCCAUACCACCCUGAACGUGCCUGAUCUCAUCUGAUCUUGGAAGCUAAGCAGGGUUGGUCCUGGUUAGUACUUGGAUGGGAGAAACAGCACUUGUCAAGCGUGAUAGGGU
rnacentral:rRNA from 1 species